UAUAAUACGAAAUAACGAGGCUGUGUCAUAGCUAAUGCGUUAUUGCGAGCGAGUGUGUCAUCUAGUCACGCGUCAGAGCGCAUUGUAGUUAUUUUCACCGCCUAAUUCUUAUGGACAGGGAAGCUCGUUUGAUAGUCUUAGUAGGAAUAAAAUAAGAAAAUAUAAUUAAUGUACCGAGAAUAGAUACUAAGAAAUAAUAAUAACAAAUUAAUAAUAACAACAAUAAUAAUAAUAUUAAUCAUAAAAAUACAUGUUUGAAACUGGAAAAGGGAUACUGCUAAGUGACCCUUUAGGUGGGUUACAAUCAUCAUAUACGUGACUAUCCUGAACUGAUACUUUGCUUUGGGCCUCUUAUUCGCUCUUGGACCCUUAGGUUUGAGAGUAAACACACACGUUUUAAACAGUGUGCUCGCAAAUUACACAACUUCAAGAAUUUGUGAUCUGUUGAUUAUUUAGGCCUCCAACUACGUAGCUCUGUGGCUGUACACAAUGUCACCGUUAAAGGCACAAGCUACAAAAAAAGCCACGUGUGUUGUCUUUGAGAAGAAUGAUGAGGGACUAGUCUUUGGCAAGAUAGAACUGAUUCUUGUUUGCAACAGUUGUGUUUACUUUGUCACAGAGAAAUGCCAGUCUGAUUUCCUUUUUGAUCAGGGGAUUUACUGCCUAAAGAUGGGCUCAGAGAACCCCAUUUCAAAUUAUUUCUGCCUCGAACAUGCAAGCCUGCUUGACUAUUACCCUUUGCCUGUGUACAACAUGUUUGGUCUGUCUCUAAUAGCCACUCCUUUCCUUCAGAAUGUCUGAUAUAAGUGAGAGCAUCAAGGACGCAGUCAUUUCUGUCCUGCCAAGUGUGCCAGAAGAAACGAUCUUACACCAGGGAGUAGAAAGCAAAGAUGACUUGCAGUACAUAAGAGAACAGGAAAUUGCAGAGGUUAAUCGACCAAUCCAGUGCAGAAAACAUUUAAAUGCAUGGAAAUGAGCAGAAUGUCUGAUAUAAGUGAGAGCAUCAAGGACGCAGUCAUUUCUGUCCUGCCAAGUGUGCCAGAAGAAACGAUCUUACACCAGGGAGUAGAAAGCAAAGAUGACUUGCAGUACAUAAGAGAACAGGAAAUUGCAGAGGUAAUCGACCAAUCCAGUGCAGAAAACAUUUAAAUGCAUGGAAAUGAGCAGAAUGUCUGAUAUAAGUGAGAGCAUCAAGGACGCAGUCAUUUCUGUCCUGCCAAGUGUGCCAGAAGAAACGAUCUUACACCAGGGAGUAGAAAGCAAAGAUGACUUGCAGUACAUAAGAGAACAGGAAAUUGCAGAGGUUAAUCGACCAAUCCAGUGCAGAAAACAUUUAAAUGCAUGGAAAUGAGCAGAAUGUCUGAUAUAAGUGAGAGCAUCAAGGACGCAGUCAUUUCUGUCCUGCCAAGUGUGCCAGAAGAAACGAUCUUACACCAGGGAGUGGAAAGCAAAGAUGACUUGCAGUACAUAAGAGAACAGGAAA